rnacentral:rRNA from 2 species
CUUGCUAGAACUUAGAGACAGGUGCUGCACGGCUGUCGUCAGCUCGUGUCGUGAGAUGUUGGGUUAAGUCCCGCAACGAGCGCAACCCACGUAUUUAGUUGCUAACGGUUCGGCCGAGCACUCUAAAUAGACUGCCUUCGUAAGGAGGAGGAAGGUGUGGACGACGUCAAGUCAUCAUGGCCCUUAUGCCCAGGGCGACACACGUGCUACAAUGGCAUAUACAAUGAGACGCAAUACCGCGAGGUGGAGCAAAUCUAUAAAAUAUGUCCCAGUUCGGAUUGUUCUCUGCAACUCGAGAGCAUGAAGCCGGAAUCGCUAGUAAUCGUAGAUCAGCCAUGCUACGGUGAAUACGUUCCCGGGUCUUGUACUCACCGCCCGUCACACCAUGGGAGUUGAUUUCACUCGAAGCCGGAAUACUAAACUAGUUACCGUCCACAGUGGAAUCAGCGACUGGGGUGAAGUCGUAACAAGGUAACCGUAGGAGAACCUGCGGUUGGAUCACCUCCUUU